rnacentral:lncRNA from 1 species
AAAAGUUGACUAAUAUCUAUAGAAUGAGUCACCCUAUUCACUUGAUUAUUAAAAUUUGCCUCUGCUGAUAUCACCCUUUGGUGAGCAUUCACAUGGGACACAAAUCUCUUAAUCUUUUGCACAUUCAGAGAGGUUUAUCCAUAUACCUCUUCCCCAGAUUUCCUUGUCACCAGUUUUCCCAUCAUGUUCUUUCCAAGUCCCUGAUCAUCCAGCCAAAUCAUCGGCUACAGCCCAUGAAUCAGUAUAUUAUCACAUGUCUGGCCAUCGGUCCUGCCAAGCAAAGUGCACGACCAGGUGCACUGGCUGAAGUUCUGCCCACUGGGAAGAUUUCCUUCACCACAGUCCUUCAGGGAUGUCCUAGAAAGGGGCUACAGUGCUACAGCAUCCACUUUUGGGUCGUGCCUGCAUAUCCUGCAGAACCCUCUGUAAACCAGGCCUGAGUCUUCUCAUCCUCUGUCAGCUGAUCUGGGGAACUCCCCAUGAAGCCACAGGUGCAGGCUGGGAGAGAGAAGGCAACAUAGCAGGGUUAGGAACCGUGGGCAUUUGGGUCACUUCUUCAUGUAACUUACUUGUGCCUUCGGAACCUGCUCGGGCCUGAUCACAGAUACACCACUUCCAUUUGAUGAUGGAGUCUUGCUUUGUCCACCCAACUUUAUGGUGUGGUGGGUCAGAUAACACCCAGCUUAUGACAGGCAGCUCAAGUUGCAUGAUAAUGUCAUGGCCCAUGUCAAGCGUUCAGUCUCUGCUGAGGCCCGCUAGUAGGCCAAGAGCUGUUUCUCAGAAGGGGAGUAGUUAUCUGCAAAUGACAGCAGGCUCUUGCCAUGAAAUCUUAUACUCUCCACUGUGAUUCACCUAUAGGGGCCUGCCAAAGCCUCCAAGCAGCAUCGCUACCUGCCACUGACACUUUAAGCGCCACUGGAUCUGCUGGGUCAUGUGGCGCAAGGGGCAGAGCAGCUUGCACAGCAGCCUGGACCUAUUGCAGAACCUUAUCUUAUUCUGGGCUUCACUCAAAACUAGCAGCUUUGGGAGUUACUCAGUAAAGGGGAGAAACACACCCAAAUGAAGAAUAUGUUGCCUCCAAAAUCCAAAGAAGCCCAUUGGGCUUAUUUUGGUUGUAGAAAUGGCCAGAUGCAAAAUCAUAUCCUUCACCUAGAAGGGCUAUUUUGACAUACCCCAUACCACUGGAUGCUAGAAAUUUCACUGAGGUAGAGGCCUAUGAAUUUUAAUCAGAUUUGUUUUCCACCCUCUGACACACAAAUGUUUUACUAAUAAGUCUAGAGUAGUUGCUACUUCUUGCUCACUAGCAUAAUGUCAUUGGUGUAAUGGAUCAGUGUGGUACCUUGUGGAAGGGAAAGGCAAACGAGAUCCCUGCAAGCUAACUAAUGGACAUAGGGCUGGAGAGUUACUGUAUCCCUGCUGCAAAAUAACCGAAGGUACAUUUCUGGCCUUGCCAGCUGAAAGCAAACUGCUUCUGGUGGGUCUUAUUAACAGGGGUGGAGAGAAGGCAUUUGCCAGAUCAAUAGCUACAUACCAGGUACCAGGGGCUGUGGUAAUUUGCUCAAGAAAUGAAACCACACCUGAUACAGCAGCUGCAAUUAGAGUUAUUACCUGCUUACAAUAAUCCACUGUCAUUCUCCAAGAUCUAUCUGCCUUCUGCACAGGCCAAAUAAUAAGUGAAUUGAAUGCAGAUGUGGUAGGAAUCACCACCCCGUGUCCUUUAUGUCCUUGAUGGUGGCAUCAGUCUCUACACUCUGUCAAGGUAUGGCUCUUGGUUUACUAUUUUCCUAAGUAGAGGCAGUCCUGCUGGCUUCUACUUGACUUUUCUCAACAUAAUAGUUCUCAUUCCACAGGUCAGGGAACUAAUGUGGGGAUUCUGCCAGUUACCAAGUAUGUCUAUUCGAAUUUUGCAUUCCAGAAAAGGAGAAGCAACCACAGGAUGAGUUCAGGGACCCACUGGACUCACUGUGAGAUGGAAUUGAACUAAAACUCCAUGGAUCAGCUGACCUCCACAAGCCUCUCCUCUAACUCCUGGACCACAGUGACAUUUUGGGUCUCCUGGAAUCAGUGAGAGUUCAGAGCCAGUGUCUACUAGUGCCUGAAAGUUCUGAUUAUUUCUUUUUUCUCAAUGCAUAGUUAAUGCUGUAAAAGGCUAUAUGUAGGUCCCUUUGGGGAAGGCUAGGGGAACAUUAACAGGAUAAAUUUCGGGUAGUACACCAGAGUGGUUCCUCAACGGGGCCCAUCUUCCCCUUUAUCCAAGGGGUUUCGAGGCUGUAGGCUGGCUCAAGUCUGGGAAUUGAUUGAGGGGCUAUGACUCUCUGCUUCUACAAUUCACGUUAGAUUUUUGUUCACUUAACCUAGAAUUUUCCACUUGUACACAUCAAGUAAGAAUUUGGUUGGCUUCCUAUCUAUUUCACUUCUAGGAACACCAUGGUCAGCUAGCCAACACCAUAUACAUGCGCGUGCACCCCCCCACACACACGCACACACACAUCCCCGGCACCAGGCCAGGAAUUUUUAAUUCUGAAGGAACAUCUCCCUCAGCUGUUUCUGCCAGUCUGAGGUGAGCAGUGGGCAUGGGGCUGGGGAGGGAGGGGCCAAGGCGUGCAUCUGCGUUACUGCAGACGUCCACGUUACUGCAUGUGUCCACAUUACUGCAGGUGCAGGUUGGAGCCCCCACCCAGACCCGCACCAGCUGCUGCCAUCUCUCAUGCUCAGUCCCAGGACAGUUAUUCUCAGCUUUCCCGGACACCUCCCUGUUCCCACUAGAUGCAACAGCACAGCUAGUUCCUGCUGCAUGGUGCUCCCAGCUUCUGAGUCUUUAAAGAUUUGUUUUUAGAGAUGAGGUCUUGCCAUGUUGCCCAGGCUAGUCUUGAACUCCUGGCUUCCAGUCACUGGGGUCAGGCCCUGCAGGAAAUUGGUACUGCUCGGAUGGGAGGCAGGAAUUGGUACAGCUAGGAUGGGGCAGGCAAGGCAAGUCCCAUUCGAUAGACUGUGGCCCACCGAGUGUAUGCUCUGCACUUGGAAUCCGGAAUGAUGAGGGGGCUAAGGACCAUGACAUAAACUGGAAAUAUUUAACCUAGAAAGACUGUUCUUAGAGACAUUGUUAUGUUUGAGUAAUAAAAGCUAGUACUUACUGGGCUCUAAGUUUGUGCCAGGCAUAGUGCUAAGUGUAUUAUGUGCUUAAAAAAAUUCUCAAAGGCCCCAUUUUACAGAUGUGGAAAUCGAAGCACAGGGAAGUGGAAAAUCACGGUUACUCUACCACAGUAUGAAUUCCCAUGGGCAGGAUCCCCCAAUGGAUGCUGAAGUGAAUGGGCAGAGCUAACUCAGAGAGCUAGGGGUGGCAGGGCUAACAUCUGAGCUCAGGUUUUUCUGAUUCCAAUUUUUUAACUGCCACAUGUGGGGAAUUAGAUUUUUUUUUCUUUUUUUACUACACCUCAUGGUAAAAUUUGGAUCCAUAGGUGGCAGCUACAGGGAGAUGUAUUUCACCUCAGUAUAAACAAUAUCUUUCUAUUUCCACCAUUCAAAAAUGGAGUAGGCAGGCAGCUUUAACAGGUAGUGAGUUCACCAUCAAUGGUGGCAAACAAACUGAGCAUGUAUCGGGGACACUACAGAGGGAUCCAGCACUGAUUAGACAAUCAGGAUUGCAGAGUGACCUUUUUGGGGUCAUUUAGAAAAUGUGUGAGUGGAAGAAGGGAGGAAGGUACCAGCCAAGGGAGACUCUAAAAUCUGCGAGCAGAAUGGCAAACUGUGAUUGCUGAAACGUUAUGGCCACAGCCAAGGACUCUAGGCACUGCCAGAGAUGGGGGGCUGUAAGGAGGCAGCAUGUGACAGGGUGAAGAGUGGGCAGUUUUGGGAUCAAGAUCCCAAGGGGCACAACGUCUUUGUAAAUCCUCCACAAAAGGCCUUCCACAGAAACUUUGUACUUCAAAAUUCCAGCCCUGGUAGGUCAUUCCCUUGGCUUCAGACUUUUUUCUUUGUUGAGAUGGAAGUUGAUUGGGGCUGAGUCAACUUAGCUAAGUGGGAGCUACAUUUCCCACAGUUGCCUUCCCAAUAUGCUUCCAUUUAGGGUUGGCUAUAAAGAGGAAUAUACAUGAGAUUCGGAAGGUGAAAUGAAGAAACAGCAAUUUUCAAGCUCUGAAGCCCAGCGUAAGAUGCCAAACACUGUGACUGGUCAUGGCUGUUGCGGUCCUGCUGCCUGGCCUCAUUGACAUGGGCAGCACCCAAGCCCAUAUCUCCUGCAGCUCCCUCCAGCCCUGCUACUCAGACUUCACCUAGUCCUGGGCCAGAUGCGAGCGCAGCUCCGUGGUGAAGUGCUCCAGUGUCUCUUGUAUCGUCCAGGUUGGAUGUAGUUCAAGACAGCUGUGGCUCCAGCCAGUGGGCAGCUUGUGGGCUCAGCCACAAUUGUCCUCUCGGGUUGCAGGGCACCUAUUGGGUCCCUGUUUGUCUUACUCUCCUCCACCUCACACCUUGAUUUCCCUCCUGAUUGCCAGCCUGGCCAACCUGUAAUGCCUACAGGCCCAACACCAGAACACCUGGCAUAUGGCACGCCCAGGACCCAUGGUCCCCUGCGAGUGGAAGGAUAGAUACAAAUGGAGACAGGAAGCCUGUGUGGUCAAUAAGGAAGCCCAGUGCAGGAUUUAUGAAGUUGUUUGUAAGGUUUCAAGACCCUGGUGGUGCUCGUUCUGCAUUCAGGGUUGUGCUUUUCCUGCCCUCCAUGACCUUGCUUGCCUUUGAGAUAGCAACUGCUCUUUUGGAAUUCAUCAACAGGUAUGAUCAGUAACCAGCAGGAUGUUAUCUAAAGGAAACAAAAUAAGCUUUGAGCAUCAUUUGGAAUUGGCCACAUUUCCUCUGCAGUGGCAAGGUGCUGGGAGUACAGAGUAUUUGUGGGAAAGGGUCUCUGCAAUAACCUCUGAUGAGAAGGAAACACAUUAGCCGCAAUAUCCAGCAUUUAUAUCAAGCUCAAGCUCAAGCUUGAUACCAUUCGCAAGGUGUUUCCAAACCUGUAGUCCAUUUGAAUGCAUGAUAAUCCUUAAGGUGGACAGAAUAGCUAUGAUUAGAUACCUUUUCCCAAUGGAGAAAAGAACCUCAGGUUAAAUGACAUUUAGUCUUUUCUAGCCUCGUCUACACAAUAAUCCCCUCACUCCCUUGCCCCCUGCUUACUCCCACAAGCAGCCCUUCUCCUGCCCUGUUCCACAGGUCCCUACCCCAUAUUGUAUUUUUAAAGGCCCUUGCAUUUUGCCUGCUGCUGGCUGGCACCUACCAAUGCAUAACUUUGCAGUUCCUAGCUAUGCUGAGGUGCCCAGGGUGCUGUUGUGAACUCACAGGAGUCCGGCGAGGUAUUUUAAAUUUUUGAGGGAAGCAAAGCAAUGCCUGACGUCUAUCCAACCCCACGUGACAGGGGUAAACAGAUCACUCUACAUUCCUUCAGAUUAUGUCAUAUCUUUGCAAAGCUAGGUUUUCAGUGAUUACAAGGAUGAAAAAAAGUACUACUGAAAAUCAGCGUGGGACAGGAGUUGAGGGUGGCAGUGUCCAAUCUGAUUGCAGGGCUUGAGAAUUCUGCAGUGCCCAACAGAGACACAUGUUUUGUUAGGAAGUAAUUGUGUCUCUUUAGGAGUGAAAUAAAAUAAUAUUUUUCUUUUAACUUAUGUAUAUUAUUUUCUGUUAAUAAGGACACAUUUAUUAAGUUGCUUAUACAUAACUACUUGAUAAAUGGAAUUGUUAGGUAUUUCUUUUGGCCUAAGGGUAUCCUGAGAUACCAAGGGCACCAUGAACCUAGCUUCUGGUGUAAUGAAAAUCCCUAAAGGUGUUGCUUUUCUUGCUUUUUUUUUUUUUUUUCUUCAGAGGACUUUACAUUUGAAAGCCUUUUAAACUCCAAGACUGAACAACUGCCAGAGGGAUUUUGCUGCUGUGACCAGACACUUUCAGCUGGAGAGACACUUUCAGGUGGGGGUUUUCCUAGCUCUUCUGAGCCACAGUUGGUUGUCCAUGACUGGAUUUGUCCCUGAAUGUACACAGGUUGGCCUGAAACAAUAGGACCAUGAGUCACCCAAGAGUGGAUAGUGAGUGAAUCGGGUGUCCGUUAUCUCCAGGCAUCCAGGGGACAAAAUGAAAAGCCAUGUAGUCCAUCUGUCUCCGACAGAGAAGACAAAGCACCAACCUCUGUUCAGUCCUUUUACUCAAAAAUAUUUCUUCAGUGUCCCUCUACACACCUUGCCUCCAAGAAAAAAUAUGGGCAGCCUGGAAUAGUGGGUGGGACCUGGAAUCUGUGUCAAAUGUUGGCUGAGCUCCUCAAUGACGCAAACUUAGCUCCUUCCCGUUUCCUGGUGCUGCCCGACUCCAGAGAUGCUCUGGCGUCCCUCCUUACUGGUUGCCAUGCUGAGAUGAUGGGGAUCACGGGUGCUGACCAAUGUUAAAGAUAGGUAUGAGGUAAAAAGCAUUCAGGGAAGUCUUAAGUGUCUGCCAUUUCCACAUUUCCACCUAAGGAAGCAACCCCAGGGCGAUUCCUUGGCAUUGGUUGCCAGGCUGUGAGUGUUGGCUGAUCCUGGUGCCCUAGCCACCACUGGGGGACUCGUGAUUACCCAGUUACUCCCUGCAAAUGCUGGGUGGGACUAGAACCAACCACUUGCAGUGACAUUGAGAUUUAGAAUCAGAUAUUCCUGGUUCAAAUCCUGCCUCUACCUUGUACUAGCUGUGUGACUUUGGGAAAGUCAUUUAACCUAUCUAAUAUUUGUUUUCCUCACUUGGAAAAUGGAAAUAAUAAUAAGCCACCUGUGACAAUUCAUUGGAAGUACUUGGUGUGGUGUCUAAACUAAGCCUUCUUUAUAUGGUAGCAAUUGAUCAUCAUCAUCAUCACCAUCUUAAUGGAAACAACCAACAUGUGAAGUAGGAUGAAGAGAGGUUCAUCCUAAUCCCCAUUCUGCAGAUGUGGAAACUGAGGCUCAGAGAGGUUAAAUCUGACUUGCUUUGGGUUACAUACACAAGUACAGCUGGAACUUCAAACCUGGGUGUUCAUUAACCUGGCACCUCCUUGAUUGCAUCCUGUUGACCCCCACUUCAUGGGCCUCUCCUUCCCAUCUCCUGGCCCACUCCGACUGUGGAGGUCAUAGGUAACCCUUACUAAGUUUAUGUGUAUGUCCUGCUGCUCUCGCUUCCUGGAUCCUGCACAGCAGACAGCCAAGUGUAGGCUGGGACAGCUCCAAGCAGGAAAGGGGAUGUUGGCUGGAUGCAGUGGCUCACGCCUAUAAUCCCAGCACUCUGAGAUGCCAAGGCAGAGGAUUGCCUAAGCCCAGGAGUUCAAGACCAGCCUGGGGCAACAUAGUGAGACCCUGUCUCUACAAAAAAUAGAAAAUUAGCCACAUGCCUCUAGUCCCAGCUACUUGGAAGGCUGAGGUGGGAGGAUCGCUUGAGGUCAGGAGGUCAAGGCUACAGUGAGCCAUGACCACAUCACUGCACUCCAGUCUAGGCGACAAAGCAAGAACCUGUCUGAAAAAGAAAAACAAAUGGGAAUGCCUUCUUGGCUUGGGUGUGUCUCCUGAGCCCAUACAUACUUGCCUACCUGUUUUUGUGACCCUUGGCCCUCCUGGAAAAAUUGGUUUUGUUUUCAGCGACUCGGCAGCCAGCAUCCUGAGGAGUGAGACACAUUUGUCCCUGUGUAACCCCAUUGCCACUGUCAUCACCAUGCAUAGCAUCAGCCAGUAGUAAUGAGCAGCUAUUUUGAGGCUGGGGGACAGCUGUUUCCCCUAAGCUUUCAGAGGGCUGGGAUUCUGCGUGCAGAGACUUCCCUCCCCAUCUGUCUGUCACCUGACAGAAUAGGCUGUGACUUGGUAAUACCUUCUCGCCACCCCAAAAUUGUCCUACUUUCACCCCUCACUCCACCAGGAGGGAGAUGGAACAUGCCUGGGACCAGUCAGAGGCCAGUUUUGGGUCAUCUUCUGCAUCCAUCUUUGCUGUGUAACAGACCACUCCCAAACUCAGUGGCUUGAAACAUCAAUGAUUUAUUUCUCACCAUUCUGCAGGUUGGUUGGAUGGUGUUUCUGGUCCUCACUGGUUUGGCUGGGACUGGAUGGUCUGGAGUCCCUCACUCACAUGUCUGAGUCCUCAGCUGGGACAGUGUAUUCAUCAUGCCUUUUUAUUUUCUGUAUUUUUGAUUAUUUGACAUCUUGGGGUCUUCCUGACCCUGGAGAGACUGGUCCGUCUAGGGUGAGCCAAUUCCUACAGAUGGUAAAUGACUCUCCCUUCCAUAUGCAAACUGAACAAGACAGAGCCCAUAGCCCCAGCCACUCUGUUACAGAGCUCUGAUACCCUGUGCCAUUAUUUUCCUACCCCAAUCACCUUACAGCCAAGUACCAGACAACUAGAGACAGCCCUUAUACCUCAGAGCCAAAUGAAAUUAUCCAAACUAGCCCAUCUUAAACCUGCUUACCCUUCCUCACCUGUUCCUUCCCAGGAAACCAAAAUAGAGGUUCUUGCCCCAUUUUCCUCUCACUCCCUCUGCCCCUGGAUGGACCCUGGUGCUUCCCCAUUUGGUCCCCUGCAAUGUGGGAUGCUCCAUCUUUUAGGAUCUGUGGGUAACAAGCCAUUUUUUUCCAAUGGCAGUCAUCUCCUGAUCUGAUACCCUCAUCAUCCCUGAGUAAUAAUACAGCCAACAUUUAAAACAGACAGCAGCUGGGAUGGCUGCAUCUUUCUCUCCACGUGGCCUCUCAUGCUCCAGGGAGCUAACCUGGGCUUCUCCCUAUGUGAUCUCCACGUUCCCAGCUCAAGAGAGGGCAAACCUCAAUGUGUCAGCACUUUCAAAACUUCUGCCUGAGUCACACUUGCUAAUGUCCUAUGGGGCAGAGUAUAUCACAUGGCUGAGCCCAGAUUCAAAGAAUGGAAAGCUAUAGACUCCUCAUCUUAAUGAGAGGAACGGCAAAGUCCCAUCAAAGGGAUGUGCAUAUAGAUGGGAAGAAUUUGUUGUCAUUUCAUAAAGUCUACCAUAUGCUGUGCUCACUGUGCCUUUGGGCAAGUGGCUUCCUAUUCCUUAACCUCAUUUUCAGCAGCUUCAUAAUGGAAAGAUAAUCCCUGAUCCUCACAGGGCUGCUGAGAGGGUCAAAACACCAAAACACCACAGUCCAGAGAGUGCCAUGGUAAUGUAAAGGUUUGCUGUUAUCUGACAUUCAUACCAUAGAUGUCACAUUUUGAGUUAAGAAAGAUCCAGGCGUUUGGAUCUUAAAAAAUGAUUUUUUCCAGCCUGGGCAACAUGGCAAAACCUUGUCUCUACAAAAAAUACAAAAAUGAGCAGGGC